UGCAGAGAGGAGGACAGAGAACAGUGGACACACAGUUUAACAUGAUGGACUAUAGGACAGGACUGCUGCUUUUAACUCUCUGCUGGGCAGGUGUUGAUGGUCAGACUCUGACAGAAUCUGAACCAGCAGUUAAAAGACCUGGAGAAUCCCACAGAUUGACCUGUACAACAUCUGGAUUGUCAUUCAGUAGCCACUGGAUGGUCUGGAUCAGACAGGCUCCUGGAAAAGGACUGGAGUGGGUUGCUGCUGAUGCUGGUGGUAGUA